rnacentral:rRNA from 1 species
AUACGUAGGGGGCGAGCGUUGUCCGGAUUUACUGGGCGUAAAGGAUGAGUAGGCGGUUAUAUAUGUCAGGUGUAAAAAGCUAUGGCUUAACCAUAGUAAGCACUUGAAACUGUAUGACUUGAGUGCAGGAGAGGUAAGCGGAAUUCCUAGUGUAGCGGUGAAAUGCGUAGAUAUUAGGAGGAACACCGGUGGCGAAGGCGGCUCACUGGACUGUAACUGACGCUGAGUCACGAAAGCGUGGGUAGCAAACAGGAUUAGAUACCCUGGUAGUCCACGCCGUAAACGAUGAGUGCUAGGUGUUGGGCAGCAAUGCUCAGUGCCGAAGUAAACACAAUAAGCACUCCGCCUGGGGAGUACGUACGCAAGUAUGAAACUCAAAGGAAUUGACGGGG